GAGGUUUGAAGUGAUUCAAAAUGCUUAGUGAGAUGUAAUAGAAAAUAACCUGUCAGCAAAGAAAGGAUGAGAAAAGUUAGGGCAGUUGCUACACACAAUAGUUUCUGCUAUGCUAAUGAACUUAGUUUCACUUUCUUUAAUGUCCUCAAUUUUCAGAUUAUUUUCAUAGAAGGGUAGAAAAAGUUGUCAGUCUUGCUCAGAGACUGAAUGCAGCAGGGGAUCACAGAGAUUAAACCUGAAAUUUGUGCUGGAUUAAAUCAUAUGAUAGAGAAACUUUUAGAGUUCUCAGAGACAGACAUCCAGAAUCUGGUGUGGGAAUCUCUGUGUACUACUGCUAUUCAGUAAGCAUUAUUUUGCCUUAUUGUACAUCACCUCAGGCACUUAAAUCUUGCUGUUCCCAUAGCAAGCAAAAAUUAUUUUCAAUCAUUUAAUGAAUGGAUUUAGCUGCUUUUAUGGAAAGCUUCACCUUUAGUUAAAUGAAGAAAAUAAAAAUACAGAGGGAGCAUCAGCUUGGAAGAAUGGACUGAAAGACUCACUGCUACCCUUUUACUGCUUUGGCUUUUAUAAUUUGAGCUUAUGGGGAAAAUACACACAAGAAGGUUUUCAGCUCUGCUUUACAAUUUAGAAUAUUUUAUAUGGAGAAGAUCUAUACUUUGCAGUAGCUGAAACAGUUUUAGAAAUGACUGAAUUGUACUUAAUAGGCUUAAUGUAGUCAUGUAAGCACAAUGAUGAAGUUUUUAUUUCAGACAGCAAAAUUAAUCAAGGGAAAGAGGAAAAAAAAGGAUUUCUGAAAUCUUAGUGCUGAGAACUCAGCUUGAGUCACAGGAGAGCUCAGAUUUUGAGUGUUAGGUACAUUCUCCAUGAAGAAUCAGACUCUGUGAAGGUGUCUCAAAGAGUACUCAAAUGCUGCUCUCCAAAAUAUAGGUAUCCUGAUCCUGAAGUAACAAGGAAUGAAGGAUGAAUAUACUGGAGUUGACCACGUGAAUUUCUGGGGACCUGGGAAUGCCUAGUAGGCCAAAUGAAAUUGCUGUAGAAUUAGGACCCAUAAUAAUUUUUAUUUUGUGGGAUAAUUAUAUGACUUUAUUGUAGCCUUGUAACUUUGGAUCCAGUGAAAGUAUGUAAUUAGGUACCCAGGUGGAUUGGCUUAGUCCAUUUCAGAAAUUCAAAUUGUUAGCCAUUAUCAUUUGAUACUAUGAAUACAUCGCAAACUUUUAUUUUUAAAACAGAUUAGUGCAAACAGCAAUUGCAGAAAAUUAAGAGAUACUCCUUGAAUCUAAAGCCUUCCAAAUUAAGGAUUUACAACAAUUCAUAUUAGAGUUGCUCAGUCACAUUUUUGUUAAGACAGUGCUUUAAGUACUAGAAACUGAGCUGUGUUAGGGCUCCAGAAAUUCAGAAGAAUAUGCAAUAGUUUUGCCACUGGAUUUUUUUUUACUAUAGGGAAGGUUACAGUAUUCUAGGAGCUUUCUUAUUCUCAUUAAUGACAAAACUAAUUUAUUUUGAUUGAAGCAGGGACAGGCUGCAGUUUGCUGGAUUGAUCUUGCAUGUGUUCAAAUGCAUGUGUUUUACUGGAGGUGUUGUGACAAUAAACAUGUACAAGUACUUCCAAGAUUGGGUCCACUCAAACUGAAGUGCUUCUCCAAUCAUUUGAAUAUUUUUAUGUGUUGCCAUUGAUAACCUGGAACCCAGAAAGUGUCCAAGCCAGUACACAACAGAGUCCCAGGCUCUGACCUCUGGCACCUCCGUGCUUCACCAUCUUCCCUUUGGCUGGUUGAUCUUUGAGCAGGGGUUCAGCAAUGCAAACACAGACUGAAGAAUUAUUCCUUCAUCUUUGGAAGCUUCACUGAGUAAUUAAUUCCUUCAAACACCUUCCUUUCUUCAAGCAUACUCUUCCUGUCAUUUUAAGAUAGCUUUUAAAAAUGAAGAUAGAUGAAGCGGACCUACCACGUGCACUAGGAAACACAGCCAUGAUAAUCCUUGCUCCCAUAGAUCUGUUACUAAUAAUUACAAUAUUGUUGGGAAAUAGUAAAAAAAAAAAUCUUCUUUUAAAUUAUUGUAAUAAUAAAAAUCUAUUUUUGUAAA